rnacentral:rRNA from 1 species
GCCGUACUUAGCCCAAUUCAAACCCAACACAAUUACCAUUUCAAACUAGAACAAAACAUUUACUACAAAAUAAGAGUAUAGGAGAUAGAAAUUAUAGUUGGAGCUAUAGAGACAGUACCGUAAGGGAAAAAUGAAAGAAUCUACUAAAGCAAUAAACAGCAAAGCUUACAACUUCUACCUUUUGCAUAAUGAUUUAACUAGAAUAACUUAGCAAAGAGAACUUAAGUUAAGCCCCCCGAAACCAGACGAGCUAUCCAUAAGCAGCCUAGCAGAGCAAACUCAUCUAUGUGGCAAAAUAGUGAGAAGACUUUUGGAUAGAGGUGACAAGCCUACCGAGCCUGGUGAUAGCUGGUUGUCCAGAAAAGAAUCUAAGUUCAAAUUUAAGCUUACCAAAAAAACCCUAACUUCGCAUGUAAGCUUAAAUUAUAGUCUAAAAGGGUACAGCCCUUUAGAUUCAGGAUACAACCUUAAUUAGAGAGUAAGCUCACCAAACCACUCCAUAGUUGGCCUAAAAGCAGCCACCAAUAAAGAAAGCGUUCAAGCUCAACAACCAACUCAACCUUAAUCCCAAAAAUAAUAAGCCAACUCCUAAAACAAAACUGGACUAUCCCAUAAAUACACCUAUGGGAGAAACAAUGUUAAUAUGAGUAACAAGAAUCCAAUUCUCCUAGCACAAGCGUAUAUCAGAACGGAUAACCACUGAUAGUUAACAACCAUAGAACAAACCUAACAACUAGAAUUCUAACCAAUAACUUGUUAACCCAACACAGGAGUGCUGUAAGGAAAGAUUAAAAGGAGUGAAAGGAACUCGGCAAACACAAACCCCGCCUGUUUACCAAAAACAUCACCUCUAGCAUACCUAGUAUUAGAGGCACUGCCUGCCCAGUGACACUAGUUCAACGGCCGCGGUAUCCUGACCGUGCAAAGGUAGCAUAAUCACUUGUUCUCUAAAUAAGGACUUGUAUGAAUGGCCACACGAGGGUUUUACUGUCUCUCGCUCCUAAUCAGUGAAAUUGACCUUCCCGUGAAGAGGCGGGAAUACAAUAAUAAGACGAGAAGACCCUAUGGAGCUUUUAAUUAACUAACCUAAAAGAAAUCAUUAUACACCAACAAGGGACAAAACAUUCUUUACAUAGGUUAGCAAUUUAGGUUGGGGUGACCUCGGAGUACAAAAAAACCUCCGAGUGAUUUAAAACUUAGACUAACUAGUCGAAGUACAAUAUCACUUAUUGAUCCAAAAUUUUUGAUCAACGGAACAAGUUACCCUAGGGAUAACAGCGCAAUCCUAUUUAAGAGUCCCUAUCGACAAUAGGGUUUACGACCUCGAUGUUGGAUCAGGACAUCCCAAUGGUGCAGCCGCUAUUAAUGGUUCGUUUGUUCAACGAUUAAAGUCCUACGUGAUCUGAGUUCAGACCGGAGCAAUCCAGGUCGGUUUCUAUCUAUUAAAUGUCUCUCCCAGUACGAAAGGACAAGAGAGGCAGGGCCCACUUUAAUCGAAGCGCCCUCAAAAUUAACAGAUGAUAUCUCUCAAUCUGAUAACUCAUUUACAAUCACCCCUAGAACAGGGCUCG